CCGGUUCUCGUUAGAUCACCGAAGUCAAGCAUCAUUGGGCGCGGUCAGUACUUGGGUGGGUGACCACCUGGGAACACUGCGUGCCGUU